UAAUUGAAGAGUUUGAUCAUGGCUCAGAUUGAACGCUGGCGGCAGGCUUAACACAUGCAAGUCGGGCGGAAACGAAAGAAAGCUUGCUUUCUUGGCGUCGAGCGGCGGACGGGUGAGUAAUGCCUGGGAAAUUGCCCUGAUGUGGGGGAUAACCAUUGGAAACGAUGGCUAAUACCGCAUAACGUCUACGGACCAAAGAGGGGGACCUUCGGGCCUCUCGCGUCGGGAUAUGCCCAGGUGGGAUUAGCUUGUUGGUGAGGUAAGGGCUCACCAAGGCGACGAUCCCUAGCUGGUCUGAGAGGAUGAUCAGCCACACUGGAACUGAGACACGGUCCAGACUCCUACGGGAGGCAGCAGUGGGGAAUAUUGCACAAUGGGCGCAAGCCUGAUGCAGCCAUGCCGCGUGUAUGAAGAAGGCCUUCGGGUUGUAAAGUACUUUCAGUAGUGAGGAAGGUGGUGUAUUUAAUACGUGCAUCAUUUGACGUUAGCUGCAGAAGAAGCACCGGCUAACUCCGUGCCAGCAGCCGCGGUAAUACGGAGGGUGCGAGCGUUAAUCGGAAUUACUGGGCGUAAAGCGCAUGCAGGUGGAUGAUUAAGUCAGAUGUGAAAGCCCGGGGCUUAACCCCGGAACAGCAUUUGAAACUGGUCAUCUAGAGUACUGUAGAGGGGGGUAGAAU
rnacentral:ncRNA from 1 species